rnacentral:rRNA from 1 species
AUGGACUCGUUUCUGCUGAGAUUCUUGCUGGCGGACGAGCAGGUUCUUACUAUGCUUGAUGGGGUUCGUUUAUUGAACACAAAUAACGAUGGGAUUCUUCUAGUGACAAAUUUCCAGUUUCUCUUUGUGAGUAAAGGAGAAAAAAAAAAGUUGGGCACGAUCCCUCUGACUACAAUUGCCAAAAUUGAGGACAUCACGGUUCUAUUACAAGGGAAAAUCAAACAGUCUUUGCAGCAGGAGCAGGCUGUAAGGUCUAUUCAAGUAACUGGUUACGACUCGAGAAUUCUUACGUUUGCUGUUAAAUCUAAUCACAAUGAUCAGCUCACUUGA